AUUGAACGCUGGCGGCAGGCCUAACACAUGCAAGUCGAGCGAGCGGCGGACGGGUGAGUAAUGUAUGGGGACUGCCCGUUAGAGGGGGAUAACUACUGGAAACGGUGGCUAAUACCGCCUUCUAUCCGAUAACCCAUAUGGGAUUAGCUAGUUGGUGGGGUAAAGGCUCACCUAGGCGACGAUCUCUAGCUGGUCUGAGGGGUUGAUCAGCCACACUGGGACUGAGACACGGCCCAGACUCCUACGGAGGCAGAAGUGGGGAAUAUUGCACAAUGGGCGCAAGCCUGAUGCAGACAUGCCGCGUGUAUGAAGAGGGCCUUAGGGUUGUAAAGUACUUUCAGCGGGGAGGCGUUACCCGCAGAAGAAGCAACGGCUAACUCCGUGCCAGCAGCCGCGGUAAUUC
rnacentral:rRNA from 1 species